UAAGUGAAGGGUUUGAUCCUGGCUCAGAGUGAACGCUAGCGGCGUGGAUUAGGCAUGCAAGUUGAGCGCGAAAGCAUGAUGAAGGAUCCUUCGGGUGACUGAUUCGGCGAGUAGAGCAGCGCAAGGGUGAGUAAUACAUGGCUAACAUACCCCAAACAUAAGAAUAACCAUUAGAAAUGAUGGCUAAUUCUCAAUAGUUUCUUAAAAUCGCAUGGUUUAAAGAAUAAAGGUAGGGACCCUUCGGGGCCUUCUGGUUUGGGAGUGGGUCAUGGGCUAUCAGCUAGUUGGUGAGGUAAAGGCUCACCAAGGCUAAGACGGCUAGGCGAUCUGAGAGGAUGAUCGCCCACAUCGGGACUGAGACACUGCCCGGACUCCUACGGGAGGCUGCAGUCGAGAAUCUUCCGCAAUGGGCGCAAGCCUGACGGAGCGACGCCGCGUGAGGG
rnacentral:rRNA from 1 species